rnacentral:rRNA from 1 species
GUCUACAGCAAUACCACCCUGAACGUGCCCGAUCUCGUCUGAUCUCAGAAGCUAAGCAGGGUCGGGCCUGGUUAGUAUUUGGAUGGGAGACCGUCUGGGAAUACCGGUGCUUGCUGUAGGCU